CAGAGUGGAUGGAGUUGCAUAAAUACUUUACAUCUCUCUUCACGAUCGCUCCUGCUGAGGAUGCUGGGAAUGCGGACAGCCCUUCAGAAUCCUGUUUAAGCAUCGUAGAGUUAGAUGAGAGGGAUGAAGACGCUACAAUGUACAGAUCCUUUGGAGUCAAGCAGGGAAAUGAGAGCAAAAUGUUUGCAGCUGUUGGAAAUGGAGGAGAUUUUGGAUAUUCGGUUUUGCCUUUCACACCGUGCUUCUCCGAGAUGACCAAAGGAUCCAUCGGUGAAUGUGAUUCUGACAUAAAGAUCAACUCUUCUUCUGAGAUGUGGCCGCUGUCUCAAGAGGCUGAACAAUCUUCGUCAUCAUUGCCAAGAUCAGAAAGCUUUUCUCCACUUCAGACGAGGCUUCAGAGAUCACAGCACCUGUAGACUGCCUCAUAAUCCUUUCUGUCAAAUUCACGAACAGGAGGCCAGAAAGUGGAACUCAGUGACUCUCCAAAACCAAGAUCUUCUGCAGCACAACAGGAGAAAUCCUCAGAGCUUCUGCCAACAUCAUCCCCUUCACUCCCAAAAAUCAAAUUAAAUCAAACUCUCCCAGGCUUUGAGGACCAUAUUUCCACUGUCAGCCUCUCUCCUGGUGAAAUACCAUCUGUUAGGCCUUCUCAAUGUCAUUUUCCUGCUUUUCUCAUCUCUAAACAAAGUCCAAAACCUCCAGAUUCUCUGUCCCCAAGGUCUUGAUCAGUUUCUUCUCUAGUAAACCCAGUCCAAUCCAGACCUGCUCAUUCAACACCUGUUUCUGAACUGUCUCCAGAACGUGCCAUCACUUCCCCAAGUGCUGCAGUUCCUUCAUUAAAGCUGUCACUUAGAGAAUCAUCACAGUCUGGAUUAGUCUCAUAUAGAAGUAUAUCUACUAUGCCUGUCUAUGACUCCUUCAGUUCUUCUAUGCUGAGGGAUGAAUCUUCUCACCCGGCCUCCGAAUGGUUUAAGGGCUCACGGAGGUCACCCAAAACCAAAGUGUGCUCCUUACAGCUAAACAUGUCAGUUGUAGGGCAGGAGUCCUGGAUAUCCAGCAGCAGUCUUCAGCAUCACGCAGAGGAAGAGCUGGUCACUGUGCUGAUGAACGCUCGGCCCGUCAGUAGCACCCCUUGUCCCCUCAAACCAGGCCGUAGCAGAGUGUCAUCACACAGGCUGUGUUUCUCAGGCACCAUAAACAUAUGUUCUCCCAUCUCUUCUCGGCCCCUGAGUGCCGGGACUCAUCGGCCGCUGUCUCUUGCUGCUGAGGAGAUCAUGGAGGUCCAGACCGUGGAGCAGCUCGAUCUCCAGGACUCUGAUGAAGAUAGGGAGGAUUGCCUGGCUCUGGCCUGCCUUGAGGAAGAUACCAAACAUAUGAGCACUACACCAUUAGAUGAGGGUUUUUAGUUGUGUCCAGGCACCGGUGGCUCAAAGCCUCGUCUCUGUCUUUGAUGUGGCAGGAUUAUUGACAGGGUCACUCAGAUGAAGAGGAGGAGAUCUUCAUCAGGAAUGCAGGUCUGAUGACCUGAGACUGAUUACAGCACUAUCACUAUCCUCCUGAAAUCCAGCCAAUCAAAGUCAAAUCCUGCUGUCCUCCCAUGCUACCAUACACCUUAUUUUUGUUGUAAAUUGCGAAAAUGUUCAGCUUAUUUUCACAGAAACUGUUUUGAGAGAUUCACAGGCUGGAUUCCUCCUCCCUCACCGCUGUGCUCUGGAGCUGGAUGCUGGGAAAGUGCUGCUUUAGUCACUGGUAAAGUAUCCGCUAAAUGACAAGAAUCCAAUUGCCGUUUUAACUUUUCUAAUUAGCUGCUUAUGGCUUGACAGGGUUCGUGAGGGUUCUGGAGGAAGAGAAGAUGAAAGCAUUGAAGACUGCAUGAAGCAGCAGUGUGCAAAUGAAGGCAUGGAAAGCAGAGGGAUUUCCCCUACAGAGAGAGAAUCCGCCACUGGUCACUGAGUGCAGACAGGAAACCAUUAGCGCUGACAUAAGUGCUCCCGCCGGACACACAGAGACAGAGACAUCAGGCGAGCUGAACAGAGUCAGUACUAGAUGAGCCUUGAAUUCAGUUGGGCUGCAUUUGUAAUGGCUAUAUUCAAUAUAAAAUGUCUUUAAAAUCAAACAUUUUAAAUGUGUUAUUAUUUUGCCUAUUUAUUGUAUUAUUCAAACCAGGGCUUCUCAAAUAUUUUUGUCAUCUGAGUCCAUUAGAUAUAAAAUAUUUACUUGAAGCUUCCACUGGGAUUUAAAACAACAACAACAACAACAACAAAACAAAACAAUAAUUUAAGAAACAUUCACAUGUUCAUGGUUCUCUGAUGUUGGCUAAUUGUCACACUGACAUACAAAUAAACAGAUAGAAUAUUGUUUUUAUAGUUUCAUAUAUCUUUUAAGUAGAAAUAUUUACAUUUUAUAUUUUUUUUAUUAUUUUGAUGUGUUUUUAUUUGUUUAUUUUACAAUUUUUAUUAUUUUAAAUUAAUUAAUUUAUUCAUAUAUUUAUUUACACAUUUAUUUAUAUGGUUGCUUCACGUUCUUUUUCUUAUUGUUAUAUUAUUACAUCUACUGUAGGUAGAUUUGUUGGUAUAUUAUCAAAUUUACACACAGUAGAUUUUACUUAUUAUUAUUUGCAAUUGCCAUUUUUCC
rnacentral:lncRNA from 1 species